AGCAAUGUUCUGAGGGAUCACACAGAAAACAAAUACAUCUCUGGGCCAGGCAGAGGAAGGCAUGAUAGAAAAGAAUUCCAAAGAUCCCAUUUUACAGUCACUGGAGUAGAGAGCAAUAUUCUGCUCACACCAGGCAUCAGCAGAAUGGCUUAGUCUUCAUCUCUCCUGGGGCUAAAGAUGAUGAGCUCAUCAAAUCUCCAUAACAAGUGUGGAGAAUAGCCAAGAGGAAGAAAGGGUGCAGAGCAAAGAACAAACUGCAGCUAGCAAAGGAAAUAUGCCUUUUAAAGUUGUAAGGAAGUGUUUCAUCUUCAGGCAUGAAGGAGCAAAGACAAAUCCUCUGUCACUGAGGUCAGUGAAAAUAUUUGUUUCCAUCUCUGUGACUAAAUGAAAUUCUGAUUCUUUGAUGACAAUGAAACAUUUGCUACCAAGUAAAAUGAUUCUGUCAUUUCAUUGUCUUAUUAUCAUAUUAUUGUUUUGCUAUGAAAAGUAAAAUCUCUUACCUUUCUGUUGUUCUUGAAAAUAAUACUUAGGUUUUCACAAUGUAUUUCCAGAGAGCUCUGAACUGUUAUUUGUCAUUAACUUUGUGUUUAGUUUUCCAGCAUUAUGCAUAUAUAAUCAAGUCUACCUUAUUCAGGGUAAUUCAACUUACCAUUCAAUCCUGUGUUUUUAGGGAAGGACAAUCUGCCUCUUUUAUUCAUGCAUAUAGUGUGACCCUCUCUUUGAGGCAUUACAGACUCUGCCUUAUUGGCCAGA